rnacentral:rRNA from 1 species
GACGAACGCUGGCGGCGCGCUUAACACAUGCAAGUCGAACGAGGGAGAGGAGGUUUACUUUCUCAAGCGAGUGGCACACGGGUGAGUAACGCGUGAGGCAUCUGCCUCACAGAGGGGGACAACAGGUGGAAACGACUUAUAAUACCGCAUAAGCGCACAACCCGGCAUCGGGUAGGGGGAAAAGGAUCAAUCCGCUUUGAGCUGGCCUCGCGUCCGAUUGUGUAGUUGGUAAGGUACUGGCCCACCAAGGCCGCGAACGGGAGCCGGAAUGAGAGGUUGAACGGCCACACUGGGACUGAGACAAGGCCCAGACUCCUACGGGAGGCAGCAGUGGGGAAUAAUGGACCGAGAGGGAAACCCUGAUGCAGCGACGGCGCGUGGAGGAAGAAGGUCUUCGGAUUGUAUACCCCUGGUGUUGAGGAGGAUAAUACCGGUACUGAACAAGGAGGUGACGGCUAAUUAGGU